CGCAACCCUCGCAUUCAGUUGCCAUCGGUAAGGCCGGGCGACUCUGGAUGGACUGCCGGCGACAAGCCGGAGGAAGGUGGGGACGACGGUCAAGUCAUCAUGGCCCUUAUGUCCAGGGCGACACACGUGCUACAAUGGCCGGCACAACGGGAAGCGAAGGGGCGACCCUGAGCGGAUCCCACAAAAGCCGGUCUCAGUUCGGAUUGCAGUCUGCAACUCGACUGCAUGAAGUUGGAAUCGCUAGUAAUCGUGGAUCAGCCAAGCCGCGGUGAAUACGUUCCCGGGCCUU
rnacentral:rRNA from 1 species